rnacentral:rRNA from 1 species
AGCAGCCGCGGUAAUUCCAGCUCCAAUAGCGUAUAUUAAAGUUGCUGCAGUUAAAAAGCUCGUAGUUGAAUUUCGGGACCAAUAUGUCGGUCGUGCCUCGGUACGUACUGGCAUCGUUGGUUUCCCCCUUCUGACGAACCAUGAUGUCAUUUAUUUGGUGUCGUGGGGAAUCAGGACUGUUACUUUGAAAAAUUAGAGUGUUUAAAGCAGGCUCACGCUUGAAUACAUUAGCAUGGAAUAAUGAAAUAGGACGUUUGAUUCUAUUUUGUUGGUUUCUAGGAUCGACGUAAUGAUUAAUAGGGAUAGUUGGGGGCAUUAGUAUUCAAUUGUCAGAGGUGAAAUUCUUGGAUUUAUUGAAGACUAACUACUGCGAAAGCAUUUGCCAAGGAUGUUUUCAUUAAUCAAGAACGAAAGUUAGGGGAUCGAAGACGAUCAGAUACCGUCGUAGUCUUAACCAUAAACUAUGCCGACUAGGGAUCGGAUGAUGUUAAUUUUUAAUGUACUCAUUC